UUUCGCAAAUUUACUUUUUAUACAGUAUGUUGUAACGUUUCCCUAACUUUCUGCGAAAGUGUUGUGUUUUGUGAACAAUCUGACGCCGGCUGAGUCAAGGCUGCACGCACAGUAGGUGGCGGUAAUGCACACACAAGGUUGCUUGCCAACCGCCAUGAAAAUCAGAAGAAGAAGGAGGAGAAUACUGCACGCAUGCACAAUUGAAGCUGCUCCGUGAGACAAAGAAGGACGAAGGCUAACUACUUCCAGAAUCCCGAUUUUAAAGCAAUUUGGUGCGCCAUCCAUUUAUCACAAGUUGGCUGUUAUAAAGUUUCCAAACUGACCAAAGACCAACGAAUGACUUCUGAAGAAGGGUGAAUUUAUUUGUAGUUUAGUUAAACAAUAAUUUGCCCCGUCAGUGAUAUGGUUUGAAUGCUGCCUGAACGUUCCGAAUUUGGCAGACACGGUGAGGACAAUGCUGAAGAAAAUUGCCACAAACAAAGUCCUGGAGCAGCUUGGCCUCCGUGGAAAGUCAGGAAAAGUGGCGUUUGAGGACUUGCCCCUUUACAGAAUAAUACAUAAGGCAUGCAGGGGUGUUUACAAGCAGAUGAGCACAGCUGAAGUGGAUUGUGAGCUUGGAGAGGUCCUGAAACUGGCCACUUUUCGAAAGGGAGGUUCAAAAUUUGAGGUACGGAGAAGAUAAGAUAUCCCAAUUUUGAAUUCCCAUUUUAUUGAAGUUCCACUGCAUGUCUUUUGAAUU